rnacentral:rRNA from 1 species
GAUGAACGCUGGCGGCGUGCCUAAUACAUGCAAGUCGAACGAAGAUCUAGCUUGCUAGAUCUUAGUGGCGAACGGGUGAGUAAUACAUAAAUAAUCUGCCCAUAUGACUGGGAUAACUAUUGGAAACGAUAGCUAAUACCGGAUAGGUUGAUUGGAGGCAUCUCUGAUUAAUUAAAGUAGGAUUUCUACACAAAUGGAUGAGUUUAUGGCGCAUUAGUUAGUUGGUGGGGUAACGGCCUACCAAGACGAUGAUGCGUAGCCGACCUGAGAGGGGGACCGGCCACACUGGGACUGAGACACGGCGCAGACUCCUACGGGAGGCAGCAGUAGGGAAUUUUCGGCAAUGGGCGCAAGCCUGACCGAGCAACGCCGCGUGAGUGAUUAAGGCCUUCGGGUUGUAAAGCUCUGUUGUAAGGGAAGAACAUUCAGGAUAGGAAAUGAUCUUGAACUGACGGUACCUUACCAGAAAGCCACGGCUAACUACGUGCCAGCCGCCGCCGUAAAAC